GGAUGUGAUGGGGAGCGAAAUUUAGUAGCGAAGUAGCUGAUUUCACACUGUCAAGAAAAGUCUCUAUCGAGGUUAAAGGUACCCGUACCGCAAACCGACACAGGUGGGUGAGGAGAGUAUCCUAAGGCCAGCGAGAGAACUGUUGUUAAGGAACUCGGCAAAAUGACCCCGUAACUUAGGGAUAAGGGGUGCCACCAUCAGGUGGCCGCAGAGAAUAGGCCCAAGCGACUGUUUACCAAAAACAUAGGUUUCUGCUAAGUCGCAAGACGAUGUAUAGGAGCUGACGCCUGCCCGGUGCUGGAAGGUUAAGGGGAUCUGUUAGAGCAAUCGAAGCAGUGAACUUAAGCCCCAGUAAACGGCGGCCGUAACUAUAACGGUCCUAAGGUAGCGAAAUUCCUUGUCGGGUAAGUUCCGACCCGCACGAAAGGCGUAACGAUUUGGGCACUGUCUCAACAACAGACUCGGUGAAAUUGUAAUUCCGGUGAAGAUGCCGGAUACCUGCGACAGGACGGAAAGACCCCAUGGAGCUUUACUGUAGCUUGACAUUGGGUCUUGGUACUACAUGUACAGGAUAGGUGGGAGGCUUUGAAACCAGGACGCCAGUUUUGGCGGAGCCAUCCUUGGGAU
rnacentral:rRNA from 1 species